rnacentral:rRNA from 1 species
AGAGUUUGAUCCUGGCUCAGGAUGAACGCUGGCGGCGUGCCUAAUACAUGCAAGUCGAGCGAACUGAUUAGAAGCUUGCUUCUAUGACGUUAGCGGCGGACGGGUGAGUAACACGUGGGCAACCUGCCUGUAAGACUGGGAUAACUUCGGGAAACCGAAGCUAAUACCGGAUAGGAUCUUCUCCUUCAUGGGAGAUGAUAGAAAGAUGGUUUCGGCUAUCACUUACAGAUGGGCCCGCGGUGCAUUAGCUAGUUGGUGAGGUAACGGCUCACCAAGGCAACGAUGCAUAGCCGACCUGAGAGGGUGAUCGGCCACACUGGGACUGAGACACGGCCCAGACUCCUACGGGAGGCAGCAGUAGGGAAUCUUCCGCAAUGGACGAAAGUCUGACGGAGCAACGCCGCGUGAGUGAUGAAGGCUUUCGGGUCGUAAAACUCUGUUGUUAGGGAAGAACAAGUACGAGAGUAACUGCUCGUACCUUGACGGUACCUAACCAGAAAGCCACGGCUAACUACGUGCCAGCAGCAGCGGUAAUACGUAGGUGGCAAGCGUUAUCCGGAAUUAUUGGGCGUAAAGCGCGCGCAGGCGGUUUCUUAA